UAGAGACUUCAGCUAACUAGCAUGGUUUCC
rnacentral:piRNA from 1 species